AUGUUGAAACCCCAGCUCCCGUUUGAUCAUCAAAGUUAAGCAACAUCAAGCCUGGUCAGUACCUAGAUGGGUGACUAUUUGGGAAU